rnacentral:rRNA from 1 species
GACGAACGCUGGCGGUAUGCUUAACACAUGCAAGUCGAACGAGAAGUUUUUUAUUGAACCUUCGGGGGAUAUAAGAGACAGACAGUGGCGAACGGGUGAGUAACGCGUGGGCAACCUACCUAUCGGAGCGGGAUAGCCUCGAGAAAUCGGGAGUAAAACCGCAUAACACGGAUAUAUCGCAUGAUGAAUCCGUCAAAACUCCGGUGCCGAUAGAUGGGCCCGCGUCUGAUUAGCUAGUUGGUAAGGUAAGGGCUUACCAAGGCAACGAUCAGUAGCCGGUGUGAGAGGGCGAACGGCCACACUGGAACUGAGACACGGUCCAGACUCCUACGGGAGGCAGCAGUGGGGAAUAUUGCGCAAUGGGGGCAACCCUGACGCAGCAAUACCGCGUGAGGAAGAAGGUUUUCGGAUCGUA